CAGCAGACACAUUCCAGCCAAUCAGCAGCAGACCCUCCCUCAAAGUCCCUCCCACCUCCUGGACAGCAUCCAUUUUACAUUCAUUGUGAAGCUGCAUUCUUAGUGAGCUGUCCAGGAGGUGGGAGGGUCUGGGAGGGAGGGUCUGCUGCUGAUUGGCUGGAAUGUGUCUGCU
rnacentral:miRNA from 1 species